rnacentral:tRNA from 1 species
GCGGGAGUAACUCAGUUGGUAGAGUGCCUGCCUUCCAAGCAGAUAGUCGCGGGUUCGAGUCCCGUCUCCCGCU